AUUUCAGAAUUACCUGUGUCCCCAGGGACCAAGAUGGAACAGAACGAUGCUGCAAGCUUCACUUCUCCAACAGGCGAGAAAGAAUUGGAUAAGCAGGCAGAGGAGAUUUCUGUAUUCCUUGAAAAUCUUCUCAAGCAGCAACGUGUUCUGUGUUCAGAGGACAUAAAAAAUUUGCAGGUGUGCUUGCAGGAGCCAUUCAGAAGAUUGAAAGAAAAGAAUGAGAAACUUAUAAAGGAAAAAAACAGACUAUCAGAAGCAAGAGAAUUAGUCCUACAACAGGAAAAAAUCUUAAAGGACAUUAAGAUAAAACUAGACAACUUGCACAAGCACUUCAAGCGCUCUGAACUACUUGGGUCAAAAAAGUCAAAGGAGUUGCAGAUUCCAAUAGAAACCUUGGGAGCAGAAAGCAGGCAAAGGGAGGAGAAGAUGAAAAAGAAUACACAAGAUAAAAGACAAGAAAGAGAGGUCUACAACUCCCCCAGCUCUCCCACCCAGAAGAUAGCUGUGGUGAAACAGACCCAGAAAUCCAGCUACCUAAAAAACUUCUGCUUCUUUCUUGGGAACUCCGUGUGGCUGCUUGUCAGGUACCUACUGUCCUGUGUCUGCUUGUGCUUAACACUUCUCUUGGUUUAUAAUCACCUUCCUGAUCCUACCUGGGCAUACCAGCUGGACAUACUAGACAGUAUCUGCCAUCAGCCAUGGACACACUAAGCAUAGAAUAUUUUACACUCCAAGCUGGAUUUCUGUAGGUUUGCCAUAUUGCUCUGAGAAGACCAGCACUUUAAAAUAAAGCAUCCAAAAAUGCAAAAAAACCA
rnacentral:lncRNA from 1 species